rnacentral:rRNA from 1 species
UACGGAGGGGACUAGCGUCGUUCGGAAUUACUGGGCGUAAAGCGCACGUAGGCGGAUUUGUAAGUCAGGGGUGAAAUCCCGGGGCUCAACCUCGGAACUGCCUUUGAUACUGCAAAUCUCGAGUCCGGAAGAGGUGAGUGGAAUUCCUAGUGUAGAGGUGAAAUUCGUAGAUAUUAGGAAGAACACCAGUGGCGAAGGCGGCUCACUGGUCCGGUACUGACGCUGAGGUGCGAAAGCGUGGGGAGCAAACAGG